rnacentral:rRNA from 1 species
UACGUAGGGGGCUAGCGUUGUCCGGAAUCAUUGGGCGUAAAGCGCGUGUAGGCGGUUCGGUAAGUCCGCUGUGAAAGUCGGGGGCUCAACCCUCGGAUGCCGGUGGAUACUGUCGGACUAGAGUACGGAAGAGGCGAGUGGAAUUCCUGGUGUAGCGGUGAAAUGCGCAGAUAUCAGGAGGAACACCAAUGGCGAAGGCAGCACUCUGGGACGUGACUGACGCUGAGACGCGAAAGCGUGGGGAGCAAACAGG